CAGCAAAAAUAAUCAGCUGUAGUUGCCUUGUCCAUCAGAGGGCAGUUCUGGAACAUGCCUAGUAAGUAGAGGCCACUGAGCAGAGCUGGGAUCAUGGCCCUAUGCACCAGGCGAGGCAAAUUGCCACAACAAGUAGAAACAAGGUUUGCAGUAGCCCUCUGGACAGCAGAAACCUGCUUACACUACCAGACUGGCCAAGUAUCCUCUGCUGCAUCCCCAUCCACCCCCACCGUGGCAGCCAAAUGGGGGUCUUGGCCACAAGGUGGCCGUAAGCAUCUACUUGGGCCUGUAGAACAGACGUCUCAUUGAACUUGAAGUGGUUUAUGUUGAGUGAGGAAAAAUGUCAGAAGGCAACAAGGUUGUAGCAAAAGGUAGUUUAGUGAUUGUCUAGUUCAGCUUCUUGGUGUUGACAUAGUUGAGUAACAGCCAUUUUAAAAACAAAGGAAUAUCUCGCCCUUUGUUGUGUCGAGAGAAACAGGAGAAAGACUGUCUGUUGAGAAGCUGUUGGUGGGACUCGGCCAUUUGCCCCGUCCAUGUCCAGUGAGUGUUUCCCAUACACUGGCUUUCUAUACUUUUAUCUCAAAACAGAAAGUUCAAGAUCGAUGAUGUCUAUAGAAAUCAUAUACCUCAAGCCUUUCCUCUGAUAGGUGGGAAACUGAGGCAGAGAGCAGCUGGGUUUACCCAGCAAGGUUUUGGCACAGUCAGGCCUAGGAACUUUAUUUCCAGGCUUCUGGCUGAGUUCUGUUUCCAUUUCAUUCUGGUACCUUUGCAUAAAUAUCUUCCAUUUGUCCACAGGAAACCUCCCCUGAUGGAGAGUUGCAUAAUAGGAACGGCAAACCUUAGACUAAAUGCUAAGUCGAAGACCCAGUUAUGCCUUAGCGUAUGUCUGCCAUUCUUAGGCCUCUGGGCAGAUGAGGUGAUUUGUCAUCACUGGAAUUGAUCAACCUGGAGGAGAGUCAUAAGCACUAAUUCUUUUGUGGGUAGGGAGAUGCUUUCAGAUAUUCAGAGGAAUAACCUCUCAGGAGGAGAAGCAGCCAGGGUAAUGCAGAGAUGCUGCUGGAGCGUGAGAGAAUCCACAGGUCCCAUGCGUGAGACUAGAGGGUGGGUAGGGAGGACGACUGUGGCAUUUUUAUAUCCGAUACGACAUGCCGUGGCUUGCGCAGGGUUCGAAUUGAGCUGCCCUCGUGACUGCUGCCUCUGUGAUCUGCUAUGGCAGGUGGAGCCUGGAACAGGUGUCUGCCUUCCUCUGUUGUUAUGAUUUGCUAGCUUACCUUCGCGGCACAGUGACCACAUGCUGGCACUGAGGGUGGUCAUUUCUCGGUGUGUGAUCUCGCACCUUUCACAUCCUGCUUUUACAUCUGGUAAAUUUUCUUCCUAGUUGCUCAUGUGUGGCCUCGGUGAUGUGGAUGUGAAUGACUGGAGACAGCAUUCUAUUUACAAGAACGGCUACUGCCCAAACCACCCCGUCAUUCAGUGGUUCUGGAAGGCUGUGCUACUCAUGGACGCCGAAAAGCGUAUCCGGUUACUGCAGUUUGUCACCGGGACAUCGCGAGUACCUAUGAAUGGAUUUGCCGAACUUUAUGGUUCCAAUGGUCCUCAGCUGUUUACAAUAGAGCAAUGGGGCAGUCCUGAGAAACUGCCCAGAGCUCACACAUGCUUUAAUCGCCUUGACUUACCUCCAUAUGAAACCUUUGAAGAUUUACGAGAGAAACUUCUCAUGGCCGUGGAAAAUGCUCAAGGAUUUGAAGGGGUGGAUUAAGCACCCUCUGCCUCGGGGGUGGUUGUUCUUCAAGCAAGUUCUGCUUGCACUUUUGCAUUUGCCUAACAGACUUUUGCAGAGGCGAUGGCAGAGAGCAGCUGCAGGCAUGGUCCCUGGAGCCGAGCCUUCACCACGCACUCGUCCAAGUUCGGAUGCGGGAACCUGGUCCCAGCUUGAGUUCCUGCCUUUCCCACCACAAAUUAUCAACUGGUUGAUGUGUACACUAAUUACAUUUCAGGAAGACUUAAUGCUAUUUAUGUUGUGCCUCUGCAGGCAAAGCCCUUAAUAAAUAUUUUACAUCCUUUCUAAUG
rnacentral:sRNA from 1 species